CGCAGCCAGUCUUUUGCACAGAGCAUGUGGGCAACGCCUGCAGACUGUACCGAUAUCCUUUUCUUGGGUUUAUUAGCACAGUAACCCAUAUAAAUCAACUGAGGACUGAGGCAAGGCAACCUUAUAAUCCAAGGCAUAUCACAGUCAAACAUCAGACGACACCCUGGCUUUGUGCUCAGUGGGAGGUUGCCUUUAAACCUGGAUUGAAAGGGAUUGCUCAGUACUCUUGGAUAGCUGCCAAUGUACUGGAGAGCCACUGCAACUGAGGACUGGAGAUGGAAAUUAGAUGGAUGGACAUUCAACAGACUACUGCGAAAAGGAACCCUUAGAAUGCAGAUGCUUCAGAAAAACCAUUGAUGGGGCCUUUCCUUUGCGAUAAAAGGCAUCUUCAAUCAAUCUUUUCAAAACGUCCCUGUUGGCAAAUGAUUGUGGAUCUUGCGCUAUCUUUAGAUGCAUAUUGCUUCCUUCUUUAAGGCUCUCUUCGGUGACGGGUAUUCUUGGGUGGAUAAUACAGAUUACGUUGUUAUUGCUUAAGAAUACGCGUAGUCGAGGAGAGUACUUUCUUCAACGUCUUCAAGGAGCUUAAAUCUGUUCGAUCCUAAAGGGCUGGCCUGCCUGGUUUCUUUAUACUGUGGGCAAUUACAGAUACGCUAACACUGAUAUUGAGGUCCAUUUAUUAAGUAACCAGACAGAUUAA